AUUCAGAUGACGAGUCCCAAAAUAAGAUGGAACUCGUGUCCUGGAU
rnacentral:hammerhead_ribozyme from 1 species